rnacentral:rRNA from 1 species
GACGAACGCUGGCGGCGUGCCUAAUACAUGCAAGUAGAACGCUGAAGGAGGAGCUUGCUCUUCUGGAUGAGUUGCGAACGGGUGAGUAACGCGUAGGUAACCUGCCUGGUAGCGGGGGAUAACUAUUGGAAACGAUAGCUAAUACCGCAUAACAGUAGAUGUUGCAUGACAUUUGCUUAAAAGGUGCAAUUGCACCGCUACCAGAUGGACCUGCGUUGUAUUAGCUAGUUGGUGGGGUAAAGGCUCACCAAGGCGACGAUACAUAGCCGACCGGAGAGGGGGGUCGGCCACACUGGGACCGGGACCCGGCCCAGACUCCUUCGGGAGGCAGCAGUAGGGAAUCUUCGGCAAUGGACGGAAGUCUGACCGAGCAACGCCGCGUGAGUGAAGAAGGUUUUCGGGUCGUAAAGCUCUGUUGUAAGAGAAGAACGAGUGUGAGAGUGGAAAGUUCACACUGUGACGUUACCUUACCAGAAAGGGACGGCUAACUACGUG